CGACUCUCGGCAACGGAUAUCUUGGUCUCGCAUCGAUGAAGGACGUAGCGAAAUGCCAUACUUGGUGUGAAUUGCAGAAUCCCGUGAACCAUCGAGUCUUUGAACGCAAGUUGCGCCCGAGGCUAUCUGGCUGAGGGCACGCCUGCCUGGGCAUCACGUCUCGCGACGCUUCGUGCC
rnacentral:rRNA from 1 species